rnacentral:tRNA from 1 species
CGUGGUGAGGUAGUGCGUGGUGGACUGCGGCAGGUUCUGUUCCUGUGGGUCCUGGAUGCCGAUGUUCAUGCCGCGUUCGUCGAGCGGCGUGAUGU